rnacentral:rRNA from 1 species
UACGUAGGGAGCAAGCGUUGUUCGGAAUUAUUGGGCGUAAAGGGCGCGUAGGCGGUUUGGCAAGUUUGGUGUGAAAUCUUCGGGCUCAACCCAAAGCCUGCACAAGAAACUGCCGGGCUUGAGUAUGGGAGAGGUGAGUGGAAUUUCCGGUGUAGCGGUGAAAUGCGUAGAUAUCGGAGGGAACACCUGUGGCGAAAGCGGCUCACUGGACCAUUACUGACGCUGAGGCACGAAAGCUAGGGGAGCAAACAGG